rnacentral:tRNA from 1 species
AAAAAUUUAGUUAAAUUAUAACAUUAGUUUGUCAAACUAAAAUUGUUAAGUAAACAAUUUUUA